ACAGAAUUAUGGAGCUGAGGCCUCAUGUCAGGACAGUGAGAAACUCUGACACACAAAACAAAAACCCAGCAAGACAGAGAAGGCAAACAACAUCUCAAGGAGGACACCGAGGUUGUUAUCCAGCCUCCACAGGUAGGCUCUUCUGGGGCCCGUGUGAUGCUUAAAAUAGACCGUCAACAAGAUUUAAAAUUACCGUGGAAGCUAACCUUCGGGUACGUCUGGGAGAGGGAUCUUCUAAAUUAGGUUAAUUGAGGUGGGAAGACCCUCCUGGAAUAUAAGUGUCCCAGACCCAGAAAGGGAGAAAAAGAAAGCCAAAUGCCAGUGUUCCUCUUUCUCUGCUUCCUUACUGUGGAUGUGACCUAAUGCCUCACACCCCUGCCGCCAUGCCUUCCCUACCUGGAUAGACUGUACCCUUCUAAACCAUGAGCUGAAACAAACUGUCCCUGUCUUCCUUAAGUUGUAUUCAUUGGUUAUUUCAUCAUAUCAGCAGUGAAAAGGGGAAAUUGAUACAAUGUGUACACGAACCUAAAGGGAAUUGAUACAAUGUGUACAUGAACCUCAUGUAUGCUAAUAAAGGCUUAGGUCCCUAGCCAGAGCUAGGAGCAGAGGAUGCUCCCGCAUUAACCAUUUAGUUUGGAGAUGGGUGAAAAUGGCAUCUCUACCAACUUGGAAAGGGGUCAUGUCAUGUUUGAGUUCCAAACAGUGACGUGCCACAUCUCAAAAGGAAUCCAGUGCAGACUGAUACAACUUUCCUUAGCCUCAGUGUCAGGGAAGGAACAGGCAUGACAAGCCUGAAUUUAAUACAGCUAAAAACUGGAAGGAUUGAGCAAGACUCUGGUGCCUGGUUUUACCUGCAAACGAUCAUGCUGGUGUUUCUGCACUUGCCACAAUGAGGCCUUGAAAUAGAAAAUCAAUCCGGUUACAAGGAAAUAAUAGCACUGUGGAGCCAGGCAUUUUUGGCUGACAAAGUCAUAUUCCUCCAUUUACUUCUUGCCUCCUUUUCUUCUUCCCUCAGCACGUCACCCAUCCUGUCUACUCAAACCUGCUGAACUAUGCUCUAGUUUAUAGAAAUGUGGGCCUAACAGGAGACCCCAGAAGGUGUAGCUUAGAAAUAACAAAGCCAGAGGGAGUUUAGAAAGACACCAUAUCUUUAUUCCUUUAUUUUGCUAGUGAAGAACCUGAGCCCAGAGAGGGCCAAGAGUCCCAGAAUAACUGAGCAGUAGAAUCCAGAAAACCCAUGUUGGGAGCUGCUCCCCCCAAGUCCUUCUCAGGGGGCCUCUCAUCCCUCUCGGUCACUUCUCCAUGGGCCUCUCUCCCAGCUAUGCUCUCACUCGUAGCCACAGCUUGUAACCAGUCCUCUCCAAGCUCAGGCCCAAGUCUCUCAGGUUGUAUCUGUGACAUGCAGCAGAUAGUGACAGGACAGGGAAUAGAGCAGCCAGGGCUAAAGGGGACAGCUUGAUGGGGAGAUCUAUGGGUAUCUCCUAUAAAGUGACCUCUUGGCCCCAGAACAAAGUGCUUCUCUAAAACACCAUGGAUCAUGGCUUGUGGGAGACUACAUGACACAUGCCGGAGAUUCUUUUCAAGCCACAAUAACUUUGGAUCCGUGGCAGCAAGUCUGUCUACUGGGCCCAGACAGCACCCUCCAGGCUAUGGUUGUGAGGGAAGGAGAUCUCGGGCUUUGCUCGGUUAGGAGCACUGCCUACCAAGAUACCUCUCCAAACACAGAAAGCUCAAGGGAACAGCUGGUAAGGACUCCCUGCCCUAAUGAGUCAACUCUAAGUCGACAAGUACCCUUACAAAGAGGGCAAAACCCAGCACUGAGUUUAUGAUCCUAGCCGUUAUCCAACAGCAUUGUCUCUAAUCCUCUGGAAGACAGGAGUUCACUACCUACUUCGAAGAGAUGAGAAAAUGAAGUCAAGAAAGGCUAAGUACCU